rnacentral:rRNA from 3 species
GUGGAGCCUGCGGCUUAAUUUGACUCAACACGGGGAAUCUCACUAGGCCCGGACACCAGAAGGAUUGACAGAUUAAGAGCUCUUUCUCGAUUUGGUGGGUGGUGGUGCAUGGCCGUUCUUAGUUGGUGGAGUGAUUUGUCUGGUUAAUUCCGGUAACGAACGAGACUCUGGCCUACUAAAUAGUCGACGGGCGUUUUGGUGCAUGGGCCCCGUUCGACAAAGUCUUCUUAGAGGGAUGAGCAGCGAGUAUAGCUGCAGGAGAUUGAGCAAUAACAGGUCUGUGAUGCCCUUAGAUGUCCUGGGCCGCACGCGCGCUACACUGAAUGGGUUAGCGGGUUCUCCCUCUCCGAAAGGAGCGGGAAAUCGCGUGAAAACCAUUCGUGAUAGGGAUUGGGGCUUGCAAUUGUUCCCCAUGAACGAGGAAUUCCCAGUAAGCGCAAGUCAUCAGCUUGUGUUGAUUAAGUCCCUGCCCUUUGUACACACCGCCCGUCGCUACUACCGAUUGAAUGAUUUAGUGAGGCCUUCGGACUGGCGGUCUUGGGUCCGGACGUCGGCUUUCUCCCAGCGAUGGGGGUGCCGGCGGCCCUCCUCGACGAGCCGGAAAGAUGUCCAAACUUGAUCAUUUAGAGGAAGUAAAAGUCGUAACAAGGUUUCC